rnacentral:rRNA from 1 species
UGGGGAAUUUUGGACAAUGGGCGAAAGCCUGAUCCAGCAAUGCCGCGUGUGUGAAGAAGGCCUUCGGGUUGUAAAGCACUUUUUGUCCGGAAAGAAACCCUUGGCUCUAAUACAGUCGGGGGAUGACGGUACCGGAAGAAUAAGCACCGGCUAACUACGUGCCAGCAGCCGCGGUAAUACGUAGGGUGCAAGCGUUAAUCGGAAUUACUGGGCGUAAAGCGUGCGCAGGCGGUUUGCUAAGACCGAUGUGAAAUCCCCGGGCUCAACCUGGGAACUGCAUUGGUGACUGGCAGGCUAGAGUAUGGCAGAGGGGGGUAGAAUUCCACGUGUAGCAGUGAAAUGCGUAGAGAUGUGGAGGAAUACCGAUGGCGAAGGCAGCCCCCUGGGCCAAUACUGACGCUCAUGCACGAAAAGCGUGGGGAGCAAAACAGGAUUAGAUACCCUGGUAGUCCACGCCCUAAAACGAUGUCAACUAGUUGUUGGGGAUUCAUUUCCUUAGUAACGUAGCUAACGCGUGAAGUUGACCGCCUGGGGAGUACGGUCGCAAGAUUAAAAACUCAAAGGAAUUGACGGGGUCAUAGCUGUUUCCU